GGCCUAACACAUGCAAGUCGAGGGCAGCACAAGGAGCAAUCUGAGGUGGCGACCGGCGCACGGGUGAGUAACACGUAUGCAACCUGCCUGUAAGCGGGGAAUAACCCGUUGAAAGACGGACUAAUACCGCAUAAUACUAAAUUACUGCAUGGUAAUUUAUUUAAACAUUUAUGGCUUACAGAUGGGCAUGCGCAUGAUUAGCUAGUUGGAGAGGUAACGGCUCCCCAAGGCAACGAUCAUUAGGGGUUCUGAGAGGAAGGUCCCCCACACUGGUACUGAGACACGGACCAGACUCCUACGGGAGGCAGCAGUGAGGAAUAUUGGUCAAUGGACGAGAGUCUGAACCAGCCAAGUCGCGUGCAGGAAGAAUGUCCUUAAUGGAUUGUAAACUGCUUUUGCAGGGGAAUAAAGUGCAUCACGUGUGAUGUUUUGUAUGUACUCUGCGAAUAAGGAUCGGCUAACUCCGUGCCAGCAGCCGC
rnacentral:rRNA from 1 species